rnacentral:lncRNA from 10 species
GGCUGGAGUGCAGUGGCACAGUCUUGGCUCACUGCAACUUCUUCCUCCGUGGUUUAAGCGAUUCUCCUGCCUCAGCCUCCCGAGUAGCUGGGAUUACAGGAAUGCGCCACUGCGCCCAACUAAUUUUUGUAUUUUUAGUAGAGACGGGUUUCACCACGUUGGCCAGGCUGGUCUUGAACUUCUGGCCUCAAGUGAUACGCCUGACUCGUGCUGGGAUUACAGGUGUGAGCCACCGUGCCAGACCUAAGGAGAUUUUUUUCUAAAAAGGUUACCUUCCAGAAAUUUAAGAAUGGUUUAAUAUUAUGAAAUCUAUCAAUGUGAUUGAUCAUAUUAAUAUUUAGCAUAUAAAAGAGAAAAAUGAUGUGAUAAUCCCCACAGAUACUGAAAAAUUCAACAGUUUAUUUUUGGUAAACACUCUUAAUAAAAUAGGAACAGGUAUAUUUUCUUAAUACGAAACAAUAUACUUAUCUCAGUAUAAAAGCCAGCAUCAUACUUAAUGGGGACACAAUAAAAGUUCUCCCAAACUUGAAGUCAAGAACAAAAGAGGUUUAUCCAUUUUUACAGCUAUUACUUAAUAUUUUUCUGGAUGUGUUAGCCAAUAUAAUUUGACAAGAGGUAGAAUAUAGAGAUAGAGAAAUCAGAAUGGAGGAAAAAUU